GACGAACGCUGGCGGCGUGCUUAACACAUGCAAGUCGAACGAAGUGGCGAACGGGUGAGUAACGCGUAAUCAACCUGCCCUUCAGAGGGGGACAACAGUUGGAAACGACUGCUAUGACAGCAUACUGAAGGAGGGGAUUGCGUCUGAGUGGCUAGGUGGCGGGGUAACGGCCCACCACGGCGAUGACCAGUAGCCUGUCUGAGAGGUUGAACGGCCACAUUGGGACUGAGACACUGCCCAAACUCCUAAGGGAGGCAGCAGUGGGGAAUCUGCCGCAAUGGACGAAAGUCUGACGGAGAAACGCUGCGUGAGUGAUGACGGCCUUCGGGUUGUAAAGCUCUGUUUAUCGGGACGCGGUACCGGAAUAGAAAGCCACGGCUAACUACGUGCCAGCAGCCGCGGUAAUUC
rnacentral:rRNA from 1 species